rnacentral:rRNA from 1 species
UACGUAGGGUGCAAGGCGUUGUCCGGAAUUAUUGGCGUAAAGAGCUCGUAGGCGGUCAGUCGCGUCUGCUGUGAAAACCUCGGGGCUUAACUCCGGGGCCUGCAGUGGGUACGGGCUGACUAGAGUGCGGUAGGGGAGACUGGAAUUCCGUGGUGUAGCGGUGAAAUGCGCAGAUAUCAGGAGGAACACCGGUGGCGAAGGCGGGUCUCUGGGCCGUAACUGACGCUGAGGAGCGAAAGCAUGGGGAGCGAACAGG